GCCUUCCUAGCUAAGUUGGUUAAAGCGUCGGCCUUUUAAGCCGCAUAUCAAGGGUUCGAAUCCCUUGGAAGGUA
rnacentral:tRNA from 1 species